rnacentral:misc_RNA from 1 species
UCUCCGUUGGUGAACCAGCGGAGGGAUCAUUACCGAGUUUACAACUCCCAAACCCCUGUGGACAUACCUAUAACGUUGCCUCGGCGGCGCCCGUCUCCCCGUAAAACGGGAGCGGCCCGCCAGAGGAAAACCAAACUCUUGUUUUAGAAGUAUCUUCUGAGUAACAAAAAUAAUCAAUUAAAACUUUCAACAACGGAUCUCUUGGUUCUG